UAUAUACUCCCUCUGUCCGGAAAUACUUGUCAUCAAAAUGGAUAAAAGGGAUGUAUCUAGAUGUAUUUUAGUUUUAGAUACAUCCCUUUUUUGUCCAUUUUGAUGACAAGUAUUUUCGGACGGAGGGAGUAUAAU
rnacentral:pre_miRNA from 1 species